UUACGGCCACAUCACAUUCAAGCGCAGGUUUCCGUAAGAUCUCCGUAGUUAAGUAACUUCAAACCUAGUCAAUACCUAGAUGGGUGACUUCUUGGGAAUGCCAGAUGCUGUAAG